UACGUAGGGGGCUAGCGUUGUCCGGAAUCAUUGGGCGUAAAGAGCGUGUAGGCGGUCCGGUAAGUCCGCUGUGAAAGUCGGGGGCUCAACCCUCGAAUGCCGGUGGAUACUGUCGGGCUCGAGUCCGGAAGAGGCGAGUGGAAUUCCUGGUGUAGCGGUGAAAUGCGCAGAUAUCAGGAGGAACACCAAUUGCGAAGGCAGCUCGCUGGGACGUUACUGACGCUGAGACGCGAAAGCGUGGGGAGCAAACAGG
rnacentral:rRNA from 1 species